rnacentral:lncRNA from 1 species
UGAAUACAUUCCUCAUGUUUAAAACCUUUUCAAAUUAUCUUAUUAUUUUAAUUUCCACCUUUUAGGUUGGUUGGUAAUCUUUAAUAUUUAUAAUUCAUCCUUAUUUCCCCAGAGUCAAUGUGGCCCAUUAUCAAUCAAAGUCUGUGCUGGAGGGCGAUUAGUUUACAGGGUUAGGAGGAAAGGAAAGUGAAGAGGAAGAUUCUAGGGCCCGAUUCUCAACCUUCCUCUCCUUCCUCCAGAACUGACUUCUCUUGGACUCCUUCUGUUUCACAUGUUUUUCUCUUUUAGGGCCUCAUUCUCUUCCUAAGGACCUGGACUAUGCCUUCUUCAAUAACAGUCAUCUUAACUACAUCCUGCUUCCCAAGUCGUCCUCCCUGGGGAUGUCUGGGACACUCCGGCCUCACAGAAUAUGUGAAUUGAUUCUUGCAUGAUACGAGAGACAUGGAUGAUGAUGAAAAUUGCCAAGAUCCAUUGCAAAAGUUGAUAUCUACUUUAAUCAGAAGUCUGCACCUCAAUGUGGUUUUCUCAAUCGGCAGUUCCCAUAUAUAUUGUUAUUGAACAAGAGAACUGGAGACACAAAAAUGAAACAGGAUAACAGACAACAAUGUUCAGAAAAUAUCUGUAAAGGAAACAAUCAGCCAUUGCCAAUCUUUUUGGGAAAUAGGAAGAAAUCCAAUAAAUGAAAUGUAGAUUAAUGAACUUCAUACAGAGUCUUGCCAAAUUGCCUAGGAUGACUUCAAACUCACAAUUCUCGUGCCUCAACCUCCUAAGUAGCUGGAAUUGCAGGCAUGUGCCAAAAUACCCAAUUUCUCCUGAAUGUUUGAAUUCAAGUGUUUAUGGCAUGUUUUCUCUUUUCUUACAGCAAAGACUUUCUUUUGUUUGGGAAAAUUUAUCAUGAGACCACACUCCUUUCAGGAGUAUUGAACUUUUAAAAGAGCUCAAC